AGCCCCAAAUGUCCGUGGAACCGGCCCCACUAACCUGCAUCCAGCUGCCUCUUCCACCUGGGCCCUGCUCUCAGAUGGAAGUGUCACCAAACACCCAGAUCGCCGUGCUCCUGCUUCUCUGGAUGAAGUGAAGGAUGAAUAUUAUCCCAGGCUAAAGUAACGAAAAGUCCAGAAGCCAGCGAUGACAGAGAUGUGUGUGGAAGAAGGCUGUGAGCAUUUCCAUCAAACCCUGUGAGUUUCCGAAGAUCUUAUCCCGAAGAUAUGUGUUUGGCCAAUAAAACACUGAAUAAAAAUCCA
rnacentral:lncRNA from 1 species